rnacentral:rRNA from 1 species
AGAACGAACGCUGGCGGCAGGCUUAACACAUGCAAGUCGAACGCCCCGCAAGGGGAGUGGCAGACGGGUGAGUAACGCGUGGGAAUCUACCCAGUUCUACGGAAUAACACAGGGAAACUUGUGCUAAUACCGUAUACGCCCUACGGGGGAAAGAUUUAUCGGGAUUGGAUGAGCCCGCGUUGGAUUAGCUAGUUGGUGGGGUAAUGGCCUACCAAGGCGACGAUCCAUAGCUGGUCUGAGAGGAUGAUCAGCCACACUGGGACUGAGACACGGCCCAGACUCCUACGGGAGGCAGCAGUGGGGAAUAUUGGACAAUGGGCGCAAGCCUGAUCCAGCCAUGCCGCGUGAGUGAUGAAGGCCUUAGGGUUGUAAAGCUCUUUUGUGCGGGAAGAUAAUGACGGUACCGCGAAGAAUAGCCCCGGCUAACUUCGUGCCAGCAGCCGC